rnacentral:rRNA from 1 species
CGUUAUUCUUCAUCCAUGAAUAAUCCAGCCUGCCCAAUGAUUCAAAUUUAAUGGCCGCAGUAAUUCAACUGUACUAAAGUAGCAUGAUCAAUAGCCUUUUAAUUAGAGGCCAGUACGAAAGGUCCCACUUUAGAUCAAAGUUUUUUAUUAAAAAAUCGAACUUUAACUGCAAUUAAAAAUUAUUUGCAUAAAUCUCAAAGACGAGAAGACCCUAAGAGCUUAAAAUAGAUAAUUUUUCAUUGGGACAAUAAGCAAAAAUAAAAAUCUUUGCCUCAUUAAAGUUACCUUAGGGAUAACAGCGUAAUUUAUUUAAAAAGUCCUUAUUUAUAAAUAAGUUUUCGACCUCGAUGUUGAAUUAAAUUAAACUUAAGGUGAAAAAGCUUUAUUUCUUAGUCUGUUCGACUAAUAAAAAUUUACA